AAGAGAGGAAACAAAUAGGAGUCGGCUGUUUCAUUUGAUAGCAGAAACCGUGAGGAGCAAAAGAGAGAAACAGAGUGUGAAGCUUUCUUCCUCCUCCAACCUCAAAACCGUGAGCAAAAGUGUGAGAUAGGGAGAUAAAUCUUGUGCAUUUCAUCACCUACCAGCCUCAAACGAGAGAGAGGGAUGCAAGGGAGGAGAAGGAGAGAGACUGGUGCAUUUAUCUUGAGGAACCAAAGCAGAAACCAAGGCGCAGUCUGCAAUUUCAGAUUUUGGGAGGAAAGGGAGGUAAAAUUUGCAGCAACACCCUUCAAUCUUCCAUUACUUUUAAUCAUGACUGUUGCAUGUUAAGUUUUAGCUAGGAAAAAUGAGUUUUGGCUGAGGAAAAAUUCUGAUUAAGAGCUGCAAGAAAACUUUGUGAUGGCCGAGAGAGUGGAGCUGGAAUUGCAGCUUGUUACCAGAAUUCCCUUUGGAGAAUUAUGCUAAGAAUGCAUGAAAUAGGUUCAUCUCUGAUCUUAUAGGAUAUCUAUUUGUGGAACUAGUAAAAAUGUUGAUAGAUUUGGCUUGAAAUGUUGAAAGAAAGCUGCUGAAAUUUUUCAGCAUGGCCAAGAGAAGGAAACAGAAUUUUAUCCAGCUUUCCCUUUUGAAUCUUUGGCUGUAAAUUUCAUAUUGAUGCACAAGAUACACCGUAGUUUGAUAACCAACUCUUGCAUGUGGAAUUAAAUGAAGAAAGCUGAUGCAAUCUGUUGAACAUAGGAUCAGUUUUUCUUUCAAAUUUCAAUUCUGUGAACUUUCAUAUAUAAUAUUUGAUGAUACUCUGUAGUUUAAUCAUUGUAUUGGUAUAAUAAGUUGGAGUUAAUUGGAUGAAAUUAGGAAGGAAACUAUGAAUUGUGUUGUUACCUACCUAAUAGCCGAUAGAGGAAGGAAGGAUUGAUUAGCCUUUUCCUCUAAGUGAGCUGUAAAAUCCUUUACGCUCUGUACAAGGUCCUUUGUAGCUCAGUAAAUGUGGUUAACAUGUCUAGUUGGGAUAUAAAAUUGGAAGUGAGGUUAGGGAUUAUGGUUAGUGUUUGGUAAUUUUAUGACGACGUAGAGGGAAAGUUUCGGACCAUUUGUAGGUCAUUUAGAAGUUAGUAUAUGUGUGCAAUUGGUUAGGAAGCUUGCACGAGAACCAUAGAAACGGACCAUGCAUUUGCGGUGCGCGAAACCGUUCAAUCGGGAAACCCGGGCAGCCCAGAAUCUGAACUUUGGCUCCAUUUUUCUCUAUGUUACGUAUUGAUUUAGGGUUUACCUAAAACAUGAAAGUUGUAACUUCUGAAAUCCUUGUUGUGUCUGCAAAAUUUCAGCCCAAUCCGAUCAGUGUAGCCUAAGUUAUGAUCAAAACACUGAUAGCUAUGCAAAAUGUUGGAUUUUGUGACGAUUGUGGUUUUGCUUCUGACCGUGCUCAGUUCACCUUGAAAAUGUGUGAACUGGGUGUUUAGGUUUUCAUAAGACUUGUAGAUCAUUGUUUCACCCGUCAAAAUAGUAUAAAAUGCAUCCAAAUUCGAGAUCUGGAGCUCCAGUGAUGCUCAAAACAAUGUAAGGUGCCAGAACUGCCGUUGAAUCAGUCAGUUUUGUGCACGAACUUUGGACCCAUUUUUCCCCAUGCUCUGUAUUGAUUCAAUUUUUGGUCCAAACACAAAAGUUAUAACCUUAUAAAUGAUCUUUUCAACGCCUCUGGAAUUUCUUGAUUCCGAUCUCUGAGUCAUGAGUUGUGGUCGUUCAAACAGGGCCUAUUCGGUAUCCUGAAUUGAAACAGCUGGGACUGUCUUGUGCAUUUUUGACCUAGUUUCGUUGAGAUCGGGUUUGAGAUGUCUUCAUGAAAGUUGUAGCCCUUCUUCUUAGCUUCGCAAUGGUACUUCAUAGACCUUAAUCUGACAUUUCUAGCCCAACUUAUGGUCAAAACAGUUUGGAACAGCAACUAUACCCGUUUCCGUUUCCGUUUCCAUUUCCGUAAGCCGUUUCCACGCAUGUAUGUGCCAAAUUUGCCGUUUUGCUUGAUUUAUACAUUCUAGUAGCCGUUUGUGGAAUAAUGUAAUACAAUCUUCUAUUUCAGACGGUGGUGAGUUAGACGAAACCAGUGGGGCCUACUAGCUAUUACACGUGACGUGAUAUCCGCUCUUUUGCUAUACUUGCUUUUUGUGUAAGUAUUCAGACCGUUUUUUGUGUAUAACUUGCUUAUGUGCUUUGAUGUGAAUGAGAGGGUACUUAGGCGAGAGUGUACUUGAUCACGCUCGACCUAAACCCUAAUUUGCACCUGUGUUUAUCUAUGACAUGUAUAUAUAUGAAUUAUUUUGAUAUUGAACCCCUUGAGCUUGUAGUUCGGAGUGACUUUUGUGGGGCUCGAUCUCAAGACCUAGACGGACUAUUCGAGCCGGCCGAGGCUUGGUCGAAACCAGUCCAACCUAGUCUUAAGGUCACCGAGUUUGUGGUUCUGUGAACCAAGUUUGUGAAUCAAGUUCAAUUACGUUUCGUUUGCUCGAGCCAUUUCGUGAGGUUACUGGCCAGUGAGGGUGAUAAGGUGUUACGUGGGAGUACAAGUGGAGUUGUACGGACCAUUAUUUGUGGUCGACGGAGUGUCGACAGGAGAUCACAUAUGACAGCCCCACCUCCCCCUAAGGCGAACCAAAGGAUUCGCCGGACCGCCUGUCCAACUCUCGCCGGGACUCACUCACUCACUACAGUCCUCAAACAAAGUACAAUAUAAAUCUCAAAUAUUACAUCAAAUUCCUCAAGAAUUACAUAUCAUAAGUGAAGCGGAAACAAUUCCCAACUAUACAUAAAAUGAUUCCAAAUCCAAACUAUACAACAUAUAUGCCAUCCAGCCACGUGAAUAAGUACUACAAGUCUUUCCUUCGCCUCGAGCCCUGUGAAGGGGAAUAAAAUAGUUUUGGGGUGACCUAAAACUUAGUGAGUAACUAAUAAAAUCAGUAAUCAAAUAUAUGUCACAAUCGUUCAUUUCAAUGAUGUCAUGAAUCAGUAAUCAAAUGUACAUUUAUUGCUCUCAUGAGCCAGUGAAAUCAUUGUACAUAAACACCCAACGCUUAAAUAGAUUACUUAACAUUAAACAAUAAGGGGGAGCAACGUUGGUGCUCCAGAUCAUGUCAUGAACAAUAAACAGGAGUGGAGACGUUGGUGUUCAGCACAAGACUCCCCAAGAAUUCAUUUAAGCCAAAUCAUGUCAUGAACUCACAUGCCGGCACACAUGAUACGCAAACGAGUAAAUAAUGCAAGAAACAUUUCAAAAGUACUUUGGAAACAGUUUAGGGUCACUCACCUCCAUGGCUCAGAAACCAUCCAUAAUAUAUCAUUACCUUGCUCGAGUCCAAGCCCUAAAUCACAAACUCAAAGCAAUCAUACAUUCUCAAAGUUCGAACAGCAUUUCCCCAUAAAUGCUUCAUUUCCAACCUACAAUAUAUUACCAAUCACACAUACGGUUAAUAAGCAAUAAAAUAUAUCCAAUUAGGCCACAAUAUCCCUCAAUCAAAGCUAAUUAGAAGCUUAAGAGACACCAUUAGAAAUAUUCCCAAUGAAACCCUAGAAACCGGAAUUCAUUCCCUCAAGCGUAAAUUUUCCGCAACGAUCGCAGUUAACGUAUAAAAGUUCCGUUUAACACCUUUCGGCAAAAUAUCCAUAACUGAAGCUACUCUUAUCGGAUUGAAACAAAUUUUAUGGCGUUUCGAAGCCAAGACAUAACCCUACAUUUCUUAUGAAGACCUUCAAAGCCAAAUCAUGCAUUUUCAGGGUCAAAAAUGGAAAUUUCCACGAAGACAGAAAUCUGGGCGCAGAACAGGGUUCAUGGACAGUCAAGGGUAUUUCGUCAUUUCACAUGCUACAGUGCUCGGAUCCAACUGAAAUUUUGUAGGCAGCUAUUAACACCAUUUGCUACAACUUUCAUGUUUUAACCUAAGCCUGAUUCAGCCUCUAACAUGCCCGAAUAAAUCUGGUCAGAACAGGGCAAAUGUAAACCCUAAACCUGGAAUUUCGUAUCCAACCAGAAAUUUUCCGCAACCAACUUCAACUAACAUAUACAAGCUUCAUUUUACACCAUUACCAGCCAUCAUACCAUGAUCAAACCAUGAUCCUCAUACAAAACAGAAAAAUAACAAUAAUAAAUCAAAAUUCAUCAAACCUUCACUUCCAACCAUAAACAAACCAUAAUCACACCAUAUGUCAUCAUAUUAAACCAAUAAAGCCACCAAUUGAACAUUAUCAAAGCUAAAGGGAAAGAUUCUUAACAACUCACCUUGUAACCUCAAGACAACAAGCAACUUAGCACUUUGCUUCUCAAACCACUUCACCACUCACCUUAAUCCUACCAAGAGAAAGGUUUUUAUGGAACAAAUCAAAGUUUUAACAGUUGGUUUGUGAGAUCAAGGCAAGAAAUGGAAGAAACAAGUUGAGAGCUUUCUUUUCUUUUCUUGUUGAGAGGGCUGGCCAAAGGAGCUAAAAAUGAAGAAAUAUUUUGAUCAAAAUUAGCUUUAAGAAGGUAAAAAUAUCUUGGUAAAAAAUCCAAGGAUGAAUUGAAUGGUGACACUUGUCACCUUUUGCUUAAAACUUAUCUCUUUGUCUCUCUAAUACUAAUCCAUAUAGGUAAUUUCUAAUUAUCUCUUAGCACCUUGUAAAAUAAUAUCACUUAAUACAAAACUCCAACAAGUUGUCAAAUAUUUAUCGCAUUUACCGCACUAGCGGGUCCUACGUUGAUAAUACACUUCAAACUUAACGUGGACUAACUUGUAUCAAGGAAAUGAUUUGAAAACUAUAUUCCCUUCUAAAAAUGUAUAAGAAAUUAAUGUAUUGAAAAAAGGUAUAAAAUUAUAGAUAAGGAAACAAAAUAAUGUCUAGAAAAUAUGCAAAAAUUUUCGGGUUCUCACACUCAUCCUUUUGGGACGUCACAAACUCCCCUCCUUAAAAGAAUGUCGUCCUCGACAUUCCAUCUUGUACCAAUCAAGUUGAGAAAUCCCGCAAGAAUCACUAAUAUUUCAAACCAAACCCACAGUCAAGCAUCCUAAAUUUCAAGCCUAGGAUACACUACAGGAAUCGGAAGUCUAAGCUUUGAUACCAACUGUGACAGCCCCACCUCCCCCUAAGGCGAACCAAAGGGUUCGCUGGACCGCCUGCCCAACUCUCGUCGGGACUCACUCACUCACUACAGUUCUCAAACAAAGUACAAUAUAAAUCUCAAAUAUUACAUCAAAUUCCUCAAGAAUUACAUAUCAUAAGCGAAGCGGAAACAAUUUCCAAUUAUACAUAAAAUGAUUCCAAAUCCAAACUGUACAAGAUAUAUGCCAUCCAACCACGUGAAUAAGUACUACAAGCCUUUCCUUCGCCUCGAGCCCUGUGGAGGGGAAUAAAAUAGUUUUGAGGUGAGCUAAAAGCUCAGUGCGUAACCAAUAAAAUCAGUAAUCAAAUAUACGUCACAAUCGUUCAUUUCAAUGACGUCAUGAAUCAGUAAUCAAAUGUACAUUUAUUGCUCUCAUGAGCCAGUGAAAUCAUUGUACUUAAACACCCAACGCUCAAAUAGAUUACUUAACGUUAAACAAUAAGGGGGAGCAACGUUGGUGCUCCAGAUCAUGUCAUGAACAAUAAAUAGGAGUGGAGACGUUGGUGUUCAGCACAAGACUCCCCAAGAACUCAUUUAAGCCAAAUCAUUUCAUGAACUCACAUGCCGGCACACAUGAUAUGCAAACGAGUAAAUAAUGCAAGAAACAUUUCAAAAGUACUUUGGAAACAGUUUAGGGUCACUCACCUCCACGGCUCAGAAACCAUCCAUCAUAUAUCAUUACCUUGCUCGAUUCCAAGCCCUAAAUCACAAACUCAAAGCAAUCAUACAUUCUCAAAGUUCGGACAGCAUUUCCCCAUAAAUGCUUCAUUUCCAACCUACAAUAUAUUACCAAUCACACAUACGGUUAAUAAGCAAUAAAAUAUAUCUAAUUAUGCCACAAUAUCCCUCAAUCAAAGCUAAUUAGAAGCUUAAGAGCCACCAUUGGAAAAAUCCCCAAUGAAACCCUAGAAACCGGAAUUCAUUCCCUCAAGCGUAAAUUUUCCGCAACGAUCGCAGUUAACGUAUAAAAGUUCCGUUUAACACCUUUCGGCACAAUAUCCAUAACUGAAGUUACCCUUAUCGGAUUGAAAUGAAUCUUAUGGCGUUUCGAAGCCAAGACAUAACCCUACAUUUCUUAUGAAGACCUUCAAAGCCAAAUCAUGCAUUUUCAGGGUCAAAAAUGGAAAUUUCCACGAAGACAGAAAUCUGGGCGCGGAACAGGGUUCAUGGGCAAUCAAAGUUAUUUCGGUCAUUUCACAUGCUACAGUGCUCAGAUCGAGUUGAAAUUUUGUAGGCAGCUAUUAACACCAUUUUCUACAACUUUCAUGUUUUAACCUAAGCCUGAUUCAGCUUCUAACAUGCUCGAAUAAAUCCGGUCAGAACAGGGCAAAUGUAAACCCUAAACCUGGAAUUUCGUAUCAAACCAGAAAUUUUCCGCAACCAACUUCAACUAACAUAUACAAGCUUCAUUUUACACCAUUACCAGCCAUCAUACCAUGAUCAAACCAUGAUCCUCAUACAAAACAGAAAAAUAACAAUAAUAAAUCAAAAUUCAUCAAACCUUCACUUCCAACCAUAAACAAACCAUAAUCACACCAUAUGUCAUCAUAUUAAACCAAUAAAGCCACCAAUUGAACAUUAUCAAAGCUAAAGGGAAAGAUUCUUAACAACUCACCUUGUAAUCUCAAGACAACAAGCAACUUAGCACCUUUGCUUCUCAAACCACUUCACCACUCACCUUAAUCCUACCAAGAGAAAGGGUUUUAUGGAGCAAAUCAAAGUUUUAACGGUUGGUUUGUGAGAUCAAGGCAAGAAAUGGAAGAAACAAGUUGAGGGCUUUUUUUUCUUUUCUUUUCUUGUUGAGAGGGCUGGCCAAAGGAGCUAAAAAUGAAGAAAUAUUUUGAUCAAAAUUAGCUUUAAGAAGGUAAAAAUAUCUUGGUCAAAAGUCCAAGGAAGAAUUGAAUGGUGACACUUGUCACCUUUUGCUUAAAACUUAUCUCUUUGUCUCUCUAAUACUAAUCCAUAUAGGUAACUUCUAAUUAUCUCUUAGCACCUUGUAAAAUAAUAUCACUUAAUACAAAACUCCAACAAGUUGUCAAAAAUUUAUCGCAUUUACCGCACUAGCGGGUCCCACGUUGAUAAUACACUUCAGACUUAACGUGGACUAACUUGUAUCAAGGAAAUGAUUUGAAAACUAUAUUCCCUUAUAAAAAUGUAUACGAAAUUAAUGUAUUGAAGAAAGGUAUAAAAUUAUAGACAAGGAAACAAAAUAAUGUCUAGAAAAUAUGCAAAAAUUUUCGGGUUCUCACACUUAUUCUUUCAGGACGUCACAUCACACGUAGCACAUAUUUGGUUUUGGAGCCCGCUUGUAUCCUUAAUUUGUGUUGUUACUUUUGUACUUGCGAUUUGAUAUCGUUGUGACGAAAUUGUUUGUCUUAAUGUGAAAUUUACACUUUUACCCCUGUUUACUUACUAAGCGUAUAGCUUACCCCUUUUAGCUUUGUUUUCCUUACAGGAGUCAGAGAUUGAAGAGUGAUUGGAUUGAACUAGAAAGUUAUUUUGGGAAGAUCCGUUAUUCUAUG
rnacentral:lncRNA from 1 species